rnacentral:rRNA from 1 species
AGAGUUGAUCCUGGCUCAGGAUGAACGCUAGCUACAGGCUUAACACAUGCAAGUCGAGGGGCAGCGGGGAUCUAGCUUGCUAGAUCUGCCGGCGACCGGCGCACGGGUGAGUAACGCGUAUCCAACCUUCCCUAUAGUAGAGGAUAGCCCGGCGAAAGUCGGAUUAAUACUCUAUGUUUUCCAAUGCAGACAUCUAAAAUGGAACAAAGGUUUACCGCUAUAGGAUGGGGAUGCGUCUGAUUAGGUUGUUGGCGGGGUAACGGCCCACCAAGCCUACGAUCAGUAGGGGUUCUGAGAGGAAGGUCCCCCACAUUGGAACUGAGACACGGUCCAAACUCCUACGGGAGGCAGCAGUGAGGAAUAUUGGUCAAUGGGCGAGAGCCUGAACCAGCCAAGUAGCGUGCAGGAAUGACGGCCCUAUGGGUUGUAAACUGCUUUUAUACAGGGAUAAAGUGCGCCACGUGUGGCGCUUUGUAGGUACUGUAUGAAUAAGGACCGGCUAAUUCCGUGCCAGCAGCGGC